rnacentral:rRNA from 1 species
CCCUUAGAUGUCCUGGGCCGCACGCGCGCUACACUGAGUGUCUGAGAUACGAGUCUGCCUGGUCCGGCAAGGUCUAGGUAAUCGCUAAAAGACACAUCAUGCUUGGGAUAGAUUAUUGCAAAUAUUAAUCUUGAACGAGGAAUUCCUAGUAAGCGCAAGUCAACAGCUUGCUUUGAUUACGUCCCUGCCCUUUGUACACACCGCCCGUCGCUACUACUGAUUGGAUGUUUAAGCGAGGUUCUCGAACUGCUAGCGACUUAGCUUCGGUGAGGUCGCAGUGUGGGAAGUGAACCUAGCUUUGGUGUCUAGAGGAAGUAAAAGUCGUAACA